UACGUAGGGCGCAAGCGUUGUCCGGAAUUAUUGGGCGUAAAGAGCUCGUAGGUGGCUUGUCACGUCGGGUGUGAAAGCUUGGGGCUUAACUCCAGGUCUGCAUUCGAUACGGGCUGGCUAGAGGUAGGUAGGGGAGACUGGAAUUCCUGGUGUAGCGGUGAAAUGCGCAGAUAUCAGGAGGAACACCGGUGGCGAAGGCGGGUCUCUGGGCCGUAACUGACGCUGAGGAGCGAAAGCGUGGGGAGCGAACAGG
rnacentral:rRNA from 1 species